rnacentral:rRNA from 1 species
UACGUAGGGGGCGAGCGUUGUCCGGAAUUAUUGGGCGUAAAGCGCGCGCAGGCGGUUCCUUAAGUCUGAUGUGAAAGCCCACGGCUCAACCGUGGAAGGUCAUUGGAGACUGGGGGGCUUGAGUGCAGAAGAGGAGAGCGGAAUUCCACGUGUAGCGGUGAAAUGCGUAGAGAUGUGGAGGAACACCAGUGGCGAAGGCGGCUCUCUGGUUUGUAACUGACGCUCAGGCGCGAAAGCGUGGGGAGCAAACAGG